rnacentral:lncRNA from 1 species
AAAUACACGACAAAUAUAUGAUCUAUAAAUUUAGGAAAAUAUGUAGGUACAAUCUCUGGGGUUUUCUCGAACUUGUGGAGAGUUUCCCUCGAUUCUUCUCCUCGAACACCAAUCCAAGGGUUUCGCAGCUUGUUCUUGGAUCCACCACCGACUCUUUCAAAUCUUGAUAUGGAAGAUUUGAAGAACUGGAAAAUAUUUGAAGGCUCAAGCCUUGAUAUGCGGAAGACUUGAGGAGCUUAGAGACCCAGACCUUAGUAGCUUGGAACUUCACCAC